GUGGGAGAUAUGCUGCAUAUGGCCGACAUCAGGGCAGUCUAUUGCUAUAAAGGACAUGGCCCAGAAUUAUGAGGGAAUUGAACCGAGGCAUAAUUGAUCAUUUUGAGUAUAUUAUGAAAAUUUGUUUCUUGUUUGGUUGAAAAUGUUGGCUUAUGAUGUAAUUUUUUUAUUAAUGUAUUAAUUAUGAUUCAUAUGAUUAUGUAUUAUGAAUAUAUUGUGGAGAUUAAAUGUUAAUUAGUGUUCA
rnacentral:lncRNA from 1 species